GAGGCUUUCCAUUUUCACACAGACGGUCACAAGUUUCUCUCUCUUAUUCCCCCUCCUGUUUUUUCUCUUCUUUUUUUUCUCCUCUCCUGCAGUGUUUUCUUCCUGUGGCCAGGUGUCUCCUUGGGAUAAGAGGGAGGAGGCCAAUGAGAAUAACCUGAGUUACGUCCUGGCUAACAGUGACCAUCUGGCCCUGCUGCAGGGAUACAAGGUACUGUACUUUACACACUGGGGCUGGGCACACUGGGCAGACCUGAACCUCUCUCUACUGUUUAUCCCCUAACCAUAUCACAAAUAUUAACACAAUACUAGCACUAUAACACUAAUGCCAGAAAUACUGAAAUUAUACCUGAACCAGCUAUGGAAAAUUGCAUUUGCCUUGAGGCACAGAUGUACAUGUUCUGAGUGGCAAUGCAAGAUGUAGAACCAACUAAAACACAGGGUAGAAUACAGAUGAUCUGCUGUGGACAUGUGACUGUCUAAUGUAAUGUGUUGCUGUUGCACACGGCUGGUGUGGUGCAGCCAAGAACGUGAACCAGGCUUGGUUUCAGUACUGCUGAGAGAACUUCCUGCCUGGCAGGGCCUUACAGGUCAGAUACUGUUCUGUGGCAUCUUUCCUGACAGGUGGCAUUAGUACAGUGUUGUAAUAUACGGUACUUGCAAGAGUCUGAGAUGUGCUUUGUGGUUUGCAGGAGAUAACCAGUCUGAAGAGGCAGUUUACGGAGCUGUUGUCUGACAUUGGCUUUGUCAAGGAGGGACUGAGGGCCAGAGUCAUAGAGAGAAUGGCUGCCAAAUGGACUGAGGGUGUCCUGGAGGCUAGGGGCUGCGAGGCCAACCUCAACUCUGACAACAUUGACAACAUCAGGUUGCUCUGUGCUGCCCUUUAUCCCAAUGUAGUUCAGGUGAGCCUUUACCCAUCCAGCAUGAUCAACAGCUCAGUACUUGUAUAAUGUACACUGAAAAAAUAUAAACGCAACAUGCAACAAUUUCAAAGUUACAAUUCAUAGGAAAUCAGUCAAUUGAAAUAAAUAAAUUAGGCCCUAAUCUAUGCAUUUCACAUGACUGGGAAUACAGAUAUGCAUCUGUUGGUCACAGAUAGCUUUAAAAGAAAGUAGGGGCAUGGAUCAGAAAACCAGUCAGUAUCUGGUGUGACCACCAUUUGCCUCAUGCAGCGCGACACAUCUCCUUCGCAUAGAGUUAAUCAGGC
rnacentral:lncRNA from 8 species